GAUGAACGCUGGCGGCGUGCCUAACACAUGCAAGUCGAGCGAGAUGUAUAUGGACGAAACUUCGGUCUAGGAAGUAUAUUGACAGCGGCGGACGGGUGAGUAACGCGUAGGCAACCUGCCCUUAACACAGGGAUAGCCUCGGGAAACCGGGAUUAAACCCUGAUAAUGCCAAAUAGUCACAUGGCUGUUUGGCCAAAGAUUUAUCGGUUAAGGAUGGGCCUGCGUCUGAUUAGUUUGUUGGUGGGGUAACGGCCUACCAAGACUACGAUAAGUAGCCGACCUGAGAGGGUGAUCGGCCACAUUGGAACUGAGACACGGUCCAAACUCCUACGGGAGGCAGCAGUGGGGAAUAUUGCACAAUGGGCGAAAGCCUGAUGCAGCAACGCCGCGUGAGCGAUGAAGGCCUUUGGGUCGUAAAGCUCUGUCCUUGGGGAAGAAACAAAUGACGGUACCCAAGGAGGAAGCCCCGGCUAACUACGUGCCAGCAGCCGCGGUAACAC
rnacentral:rRNA from 1 species